GGGCGCAGCCCUGGAUCAGCCAUGCCGCGUGGUGUGAAGAAGGCCUUCGGGGUUGUAAAGCACUUUCAGUUCGGUGAGGAAAGGGUGUGAGAUUAAUACCUCAUAUUCUUGUGACGUUACGACAGAAGAAGCACCGGCUAACUCCGUGCCAGCAGCCGCGGUAAUACGAA
rnacentral:rRNA from 1 species